AGGAGGAGCCGCUGCUGCGGUACAACUUUAAGUUUCCCCGCUCCAUUUCCUCGUCUUCCCCCUCACUGUCCUGCCCUGAUCCGGCUCACCCUUCUCUGCGGGACGGUAAACUUACAGAAAGCCCCCGAAAUGUACCGGUAUAUCGGAGAGCUACUCACCCGGGGAGCGGGCAGUGUCCUGGCCUCGGGCUGCUCCGCCGCUGCUGCCGCCGCUGACUCGUCUCUCGCGGCUUCCGCGUCUCUGCUGCGGUACCGCAGCUACAGCCAGGCCGUGGACCGGGACGACGACCCCAACUUCUUCACCAUGGUGGAGGGCUUCUUCGACCAGGGAGCCGCUAUCGUGGAGGACAAGCUGGUGGAGGAUCUGAAGACCCGGGAGAGCCCCGAGCAGAAGAGAAAGAAGGUCCGCGGGAUCCUGCGGAUCAUCAAGCCGUGUAACCACGUCCUGAGCGUCAGCUUCCCCAUCAAGAGGGACAACGGAGAGUGGGAGGUGAUAGAGGGCUACCGGGCUCAGCACAGCCAGCACAGGACGCCCUGCAAGGGAGGGAUCCGUUACAGUACAGACGUGUCUGUGGACGAGGUGAAAGCUCUGGCCUCGCUGAUGACGUAUAAAUGUGCCGUCGUCGAUGUGCCGUUUGGUGGAGCCAAAGCCGGAGUGAAGAUCAACCCGAGGAAUUACUCUGACACUGAGCUGGAGAAAAUCACCCGGAGGUUCACGAUCGAACUCGCCAAGAAAGGCUUCAUCGGACCUGGUAUCGAUGUGCCUGCUCCGGACAUGAGCACCGGGGAGCGGGAGAUGUCCUGGAUCGCAGACACCUUCGCCACCACCAUGGGACACUACGACAUCAACGCUCACGCCUGCGUCACGGGGAAGCCCAUCAGUCAGGGAGGGAUCCACGGUCGCAUCUCCGCCACCGGACGAGGAGUUUUCCACGGCAUAGAGAACUUCAUCAACGAGGCGGCCUACAUGAGCCAGCUGGGCAUGUGUCCCGGCUUCCAGGACAAGACCUUCAUCAUCCAGGGUUUUGGUAACGUGGGUCUUCACUCCAUGAGAUAUCUUCAUCGCUUCGGAGCAAAGUGUGUCGGAGUCGGAGAAAUGGACGGAAACAUCUGGAACCCCAACGGCAUCGACCCCAAAGAGCUGGAGGACUACAAACUGUCCAAUGGGACCAUCGUUGGUUUCCCGAACUCGACGCCGUACGAAGGAAACAUCCUGGAGGCCGACUGUGACAUCCUGAUCCCAGCCGCCAGCGAGAAACAGCUGACCAAGAGCAACGCACACAAGAUCAAAGCCAAGAUCAUUGCAGAGGGAGCCAACGGUCCGACCACGCCUGAAGCCGACCGCAUCUUCCUGGAGAGAAACAUCAUGGUGAUCCCAGACAUGUACCUGAAUGCAGGAGGAGUGACAGUCUCGUACUUUGAGUGGUUGAAGAAUCUGAAUCACGUCAGUUACGGUCGACUCACCUUCAAAUAUGAGAGAGACUCGAACUACCACCUCCUCAUGUCGGUCCAGGAGAGUUUAGAGAGGAAGUUUGGGAAACAUGGCGGCGCCAUCCCUGUCGUCCCCACGUCUGAGUUCCAGGCCAGGAUCUCUGGAGCGUCUGAGAAGGACAUCGUUCACUCAGGUCUGGCCUUCACCAUGGAGCGCUCUGCCAGGCAAAUCAUGAGAACAGCCAACAAGUACAACCUGGGUCUCGACCUGAGGACAGCGGCGUACGUCAACGCCAUCGAGAAGGUCUUCAAGGUUUACAGCGAAGCCGGCCUCAUCUUCACGUAGACGCACCUCCAUCCACCUGUCGGUCUGUCACCUGUCUGUCUGUCACCUGUCUGUCUGUCUGUCUGUCUGUCUGUCACCUGUCUGUCUGUCUAUCUUCAUCGUCUCUACAGGACUUCUUCACUGACCUUUCGUUGAGGUUGUUCUUCUUCUCUCAUCUGUUUACGAUCAUCUUCUUCUUCUCUCCAUGAAUUGGAGUUGAACUCAGCAGCUUCCUGCUCGUCUCGACCUGAACAUGAAAUCAUCUGAACGCCUUAAACCACAGACACUGUCACAAGCUGCCUGCAUCACAUUAUGUGGACAGAAGUAUGUGGACACCCUCCUUCAUCCAUCCAUUAUUAGGCCAGUGUUUGUCCCCAUGAUUAUUGAUUAUUAAUGAAGGAAAACCAUGAAUCUUAGUUUUAUUCUGGUGAUUCACUGGAUGAUUUGAGGUGUUUUUUAUAGAAUCAGACAAAUUGAGAGAAAAUGAAUCAGUUUCACAUGUGAAUAUUUUCAGAUCUGAAGACGUCACCUUCCACUGUGGGAAAUCAUAAAGUCAAUGUUUCACCACAGCUGCAGCUGCCCUUCAUUUUCAGACAGUCACAGAUUAUUGGUUAUUGAUUAAUCAUUUAGUAAAUAGUAAAAACAUUUUCAGUUAAAUAUAGAAAAGCAGAAAAUGUUCACAUGUGAGCAGCUGGAACAAAAUGAUCAUUAGUUGAUUAUUAAAACUGUAGAUUUACACACAGUCACCAGUUUUUACUGGUUUUUACUGGUUUAGUUUGAAUCAUUUUGUAAAGGCCUGAAACAUUUAGAAUGAUCCAGUUAUUAUUUCACAAUAAAACAAAUCUUCACGUCAGAGAAGUUGAGAACAGAAAUGAACUCUAAUAAACUGAUUGUGAGUGUUAGCGGUGUCCACAUACUUCUGGCCACGUAUUCACUGUUUGUCUGUCUCCAGGUGAAGAGCUUGUAUAGAUAUUUUUUUUAUUAUAAUGCACAUGUGCCUCAGGACUUUAGCUUUAAUAUUUACCGCCUUUGGAGAAACGUCAUUAAAGGAGCGUUCCUGUGUUUUUCUGAUGAUGAUGAUGAUGAUGAUAAAACUUCAGUCAGCUGGUCUCACGUUACUUUAAGUUUAGCUGUAUAAAGUAUUUAAUAACUAUCAGGAUGUUUUAAACAAGUAGUUAAUUAGUCAACAAUCAAAAACAAUUUGUAUAUAAUAUUUGGAGACAUUUGAUUUUAUUCCAUGAUUCAUGUUGUUGAUGAUGAUCAUCUGUUUCUCACAGAGGGUCAGAGUCACAUGGCUCCGAUCCUCUUCCCUCCACUGACCUGUUUACAUCUGUUUACAUCUGUUUACAUCUGUUUACAGCUGUUUACAUCUGUUUACAGCUGUUUACAGCUGUUUACAGCUGUUAAUUAUGUUGUUGUUCAUCAGCUAUUUACAGGUCAUCAUCCGUCUGUUACAUGUUUACCUGCUGAUCAACAGGAACCAGAGAUUGCACAGUAAAAUGUUUCCUACUGACGCAACAAACAGCAGCAGGGUGGAAAUAAACCACUCUUCAUCUUCAUCUUCAUCAUCAUCAGUAAAAUAAAAACCUGGAACGAUCCUUUAACUGUCAUCUCCUCGUUUCGCUGCAGUCAACAGGAAGUUGACUUUAAAUAAAAACUCCUCAGUUUGUGUUUCCUCUGUUCAGACCGUGACACAGUUGUAGCUAAAUGCUAAAUGCUAAAGCUAAAGUUAAUCUAUGCAGUUAAACUGACAGGACUGUAGCUGCCCUGUGACCACUGACACAAUAGACUCUGCCUGAUGAGACCAGGUCUCACAGGGACCAGGUCUCACAGGGUCUGAGAGGGACCAGGUCUCACAGGGUCUUAGAGGGACCAGGUCUUAGAGGGACCGGAUCUUAGAGGGACCAGGUCUCACAGGGUCUCAGAGGGACCAGGUCUCACAGGGUCUGAGAGGGACCAGGUCUCACAGGGUCUCACAGGGUCUCAGAGGGACCAGGUCUCAGAGGGACCUGGUCUCAGAGGGACUGGGUGGAUCAGACAAACUCAAACUGACUGAACUGUGAUGAAGCUUUAAGUGACUGUCGGGCCCCUGGAUGAACAGCUGAGUCCUCCAGGGGCCACAGACCGUCCGCCCCCCGCCCCCCCGCUUCAGACUGCAGCUCAGACCACUCCGAGUCUCAACAUUUGUUUUUCUGCUGCGCUGCCACCAGAGAAAACCACCUGAGUCCUGAGUCCUCUGACCUCUGACCUCUGACCUCACUGCUGCAGUAACACAGGGACACAGUCAAACCAAGCUUGUGUCCUCCGCUCUGACUGAUGAGGAGUUUUUAAACCUUUUUGUUAAACUGAAAUAAAGAACACAGAAAGUCU